rnacentral:rRNA from 1 species
CCUACGGGUAGCUGCAGUGAGGAAUAUUGGUCAAUGGGCGCGAGUCUGAACCAGCCAAGUCGCGUGAAGGAAUACUGCCCUAUUGGUUGUAAACUUCUUUUAUCUGGGACUAAACUGUUCCACUUGUUGCAUUCUGUAUGUACCCAAAGAAUACGCAUCGGCUAACUCCGUGCCAGCAGCCGCGGUAAGACGGAGGAUCCGAGCGUUAACCGGAUUUAUUGGGGUUAAAGGGUGCGUGGGUGGAUUGUUAAGUCCGUGGGGAAAAUUUGGGGCUCAACCGUAUAAGUGCAGUUGAAACAGGCAGUCUUGAGGACAGGAGAGGUAGGCGGAAUGCGUGGUGUAGCGGUGAAAUGCAUAGAUAUCACGAAGAACGCCGAUUGCGAAGGCAGCUCACUGGACUGCAACUGACGCUGAGGCUCGAAAGCGUGGGUAGCAAACAGGAUUAGAUACCCGAGUAGUC